UCGACGGCAGCACGGGAGCAAUCCUGGUGGCGAGUGGCGAACGGGUGAGUAAUGUAUCGGAACGUACCUUUCAGUGGGGGAUAACGUAGCGAAAGUUACGCUAAUACCGCAUAUUCUGUGAGCAGGAAAGCAGGGGAUCGCAAGACCUUGCGCUGAUUGAGCGGCCGAUAUCAGAUUAGCUAGUUGGUGAGGUAAAGGCUCACCAAGGCGACGAUCUGUAGCGGGUCUGAGAGGAUGAUCCGCCACACUGGAACUGAGACACGGUCCAGACUCCUACGGGAGGCAGCAGUGGGGAAUUUUGGACAAUGGGCGCAAGCCUGAUCCAGCCAUGCCGCGUGAGUGAAGAAGGCCUUCGGGUUGUAAAGCUCUUUCAGCCGGGAAGAAAACGCAUGGGUUAAUACCCUGUGUGGAUGACGGUACCGGAAUAAGAAGCACCGGCUAACUACGUGCCAGCAGCCGCGGUAAUACGUAGGGUGCGAGCGUUAAUCGGAAUUACUGGGCGUAAAGCGUGCGCAGGCGGUUUGUUAAGAUAGGCGUGAAAUCCCCGGGCUCAACCUGGGAACUGCGUUUAUGACUGGCAGGCUAGAGUAUGGCAGAGGGGGGUGGAAUUCCACGUGUAGCAGUGAAAUGCGUAGAGAUGUGGAGGAACACCGAUGGCGAAGGCAGCCCCCUGGGCCAAUACUGACGCUCAUGCACGAAAGCGUGGGUAGCAAACAGGAUUAGAUACCCUGGUAGUCCACGCCCUAAACGAUGUCAACUAGGUGUUGGGUGGGUAAAACCAUUUAGUACCGG
rnacentral:rRNA from 1 species